GCAGUCGAACGGUGAUAGCAAUAUCAUAGUGGCGCACGGGUGCGUAACACGUAUGCAACCUACCUUAUACUGAGGGAUAGCCUUUCGAAAGGGAGAUUAAUACCUCAUAACACAUUGAACUGGCAUCAGUUUAUUGUUAAAGAUUUAUUGGUAUAAGAUGGGCAUGCGUCCAAUUAGUUAGUUGGCGAGGUAACGGCUCACCAAGACGAUGAUUGGUAGGGGAACUGAGAGGUUAAUCCCCCACACUGGCACUGAGAUACGGGCCAGACUCCUACGGGAGGCAGCAGUAGGGAAUAUUGGGCAAUGGAGGCAACUCUGACCCAGCCAUGCCGCGUGCAGGAAGAAGGCGUUAUGCGUUGUAAACUGCUUUUAUAUAGGAAGAAAUAGACCUUGCGAGGUAAGUUGACGGUACUAUAUGAAUAAGCACCGGCUAACUCCGUGCCAGCAGCCGCGGUAAUACGGAGGGUGCAAGCGUUGUCCGGAUUUAUUGGGUUUAAAGGGUGCGUAGGCGGUUUAUUAAGUCAGUGGUGAAAGACGGUCGCUCAACGAUUGCAGUGCCAUUGAUACUGGUAGACUUGAGU
rnacentral:rRNA from 1 species